rnacentral:rRNA from 1 species
UUCAGCGGCGGACGGGUGAGUAAUGCCUAGGAAUCUGCCUGGUAGUGGGGGACAACGUUUCGAAAGGAACGCUAAUACCGCAUACGUCCUACGGGAGAAAGCAGGGGACCUUCGGGCCUUGCGCUAUCAGAUGAGCCUAGGUCGGAUUAGCUAGUUGGUGAGGUAAUGGCUCACCAAGGCGACGAUCCGUAACUGGUCUGAGAGGAUGAUCAGUCACACUGGAACUGAGACACGGUCCAGACUCCUACGGGAGGCAGCAGUGGGGAAUAUUGGACAAUGGGCGAAAGCCUGAUCCAGCCAUGCCGCGUGUGUGAAGAAGGUCUUCGGAUUGUAAAGCACUUUAAGUUGGGAGGAAGGGUUGUAAAUUAAUACUCUGCUAUUUUGACGUUACCGACAGAAUAAGCACCGGCUAACUCUGUGCCAGCAGCCGCGGUAAUACAGAGGGUGCAAGCGUUAAUCGGAAUUACUGGGCGUAAAGCGCGCGUAGGUGGUUUGUUAAGUUGGAUGUGAAAUCCCCGGGCUCAACCUGGGAACUGCAUCCAAAACUGGCAAGCUAGAGUAUGGUAGAGGGUGGUGGAAUUUCCUGUGUAGCGGUGAAAUGCGUAGAUAUAGGAAGGAACACCAGUGGCGAAGGCGACCACCUGGACUGAUACUGACACUGAGGUGCG